GCACAAGCGGCGGAGCAUGCGGAUUAAUUCGAUGCAACGCGAAGAACCUUACCUGGGUUUGACAUAUGCCGGUAGCAGCCAGAGAUGGUUGUGCCUUUUGGGCCGGUUUACAGGUGGUGCAUGGCUGUCGUCAGCUCGUGUCGUGAGAUGUUGGGUUAAGUCCCGCAACGAGCGCAACCCUUGUCCUAUGUUGCCAGCGGUUCGGCCGGGAACUCAUAGGAGACUGCCGGGGUCAACUCGGAGGAAGGUGGGGAUGACGUCAAGUCAUCAUGCCCCUUAUGUCCAGGGCUUCACGCAUGCUACAAUGGCUGGUACAGAGGGUUGCGAUGCCGNNNGGUGGAGCGAAUCCCUUAAAGCCAGUCUCAGUUCGGAUUGGGGUCUGCAACUCGACCCCAUGAAGUCGGAGUCGCUAGUAAUCGCAGAUCAGCAUUGCUGCGGUGAAUACGUUCCCGGGCCUUGUACACACCGCCCGUCAAGUCAUGAAAGUCGGUAACACCCGAAGCCGGUGNNNNNNCCUUUUUGGGGGGAGCUGUCUAAGGUGGGAUCGGUGAUUAGGAGUAAGUCGUAACAAGGUAACC
rnacentral:rRNA from 1 species